UCCGGUUUAUCACCGGCAGUCUCCUUUGAGUUCCCGACCGAAUCGCUGGCAACAAAGGAUAAGGGUUGCGCUCGUUGCGGGACUUAACCCAACAUUUCACAACACGAGCUGACGACAGCCAUGCAGCACCUGUCUCAGCGUUCCCGAAGGCACCAAAGCAUCUCUGCUAAGUUCGCUGGAUGUCAAGCCCUGGUAAGGUUUUUCGCGUUGCGUCGAAUUAAACCACAUCAUCCACCGCUUGUGCGGGCCCCCGUCAAUUCCUUUGAGUUUUAGCCUUGCGGCCGUACUCCCCAGGCGGGGCGCUUAAUGCGUUAGCUACGGCACGGAUUCCGUGGAAGGAACCCACACCUAGCGCCCACCGUUUACGGCGUGGACUAC
rnacentral:misc_RNA from 1 species